UUCUGUAAGCCGUUGAAGGUGUGUUGUAAAGCAUGCUGGAGGUAUCAGAAGUGCGAAUGCUGACAUGAGUAACGACAAGGGGGGUGAAAAACCUCCCCGCCGGAAGACCAAGGGUUCCUGUCCAACGUUAAUCGGGGCAGGGUAAGUCGACCCCUAAGGCGAGGCUGAAAAGCGUAGUCGAUGGGAAACGGGUUAAUAUUCCCGUACUUCUUACAAUUGCGAUGGGGGGACGGAGAAGGCUAGGUGGGCCUGGCGACGGUUGUCCAGGUUCAAGUGCGUAGGCUGAGUGUUUAGGUAAAUCCGGACACUCUUAAGGCUGAGACACGACGUCGAGCUACUACGGUAGUGAAGUCAUUGAUGCCAUGCUUCCAGGAAAAGCCUCUAAGCUUCAGAUUGUAAGGAAUCGUACCCCAAACCGACACAGGUGGUCGGGUAGAGAAUACCAAGGCGCUUGAGAGAACUCGGGUGAAGGAACUAGGCAAAAUGGUACCGUAACUUCGGGAGAAGGUACGCUCUUGAUGGUGAAGUCCCUUGCGGAUGGAGCUGACGAGAGUCGCAGAUACCAGGUGGCUGCAACUGUUUAUUAAAAACACAGCACUGUGCAAAAUCGUAAGAUGACGUAUACGGUGUGACGCCUGCCCGGUGCCGGAAGGUUAAUUGAUGGGGUUAGCGUAAGCGAAGCUCUUGAUCGAAGCCCCGGUAAACGGCGGCCGUAACUAUAACGGUCCUAAGGUAGCGAAAUUCCUUGUCGGGUAAGUUCCGACCUGCACGAAUGGCGUAAUGAUGGCCACGCUGUCUCCACCCGAGACUCAGUGAAAUUGAAAUCGCUGUGAAGAUGCAGUGUACCCGCGGCUAGACGGAAAGACCCCGUGAACCUUUACUACAGCUUGGCACUGAACAUUGAACCUACAUGUGUAGGAUAGGUGGGAGGCUUUGAAGACGUGACGCCAGUUGCGUUGGAGCCGUCCUUGAAAUACCACCCUUGUAUGUUUGAUGUUCUAACGUUGGCCCCUAAUCGGGGUUGCGGACAGUGCCUGGUGGGUAGUUUGACUGGGGCGGUCUCCUCCCAAAGAGUAACGGAGGAGCACGAAGGUGGGCUAAUCACGGUUGGACAUCGUGAGGUUAGUGCAAUGGCAUAAGCCCGCUUAACUGCGAGAAUGACGGUUCGAGCAGGUGCGAAAGCAGGUCAUAGUGAUCCGGUGGUUCUGAAUGGAAGGGCCAUCGCUCAACGGAUAAAAGGUACUCCGGGGAUAACAGGCUGAUACCGCCCAAGAGUUCAUAUCGACGGCGGUGUUUGGCACCUCGAUGUCGGCUCAUCACAUCCUGGGGCUGAAGUCGGUCCCAAGGGUAUGGCUGUUCGCCAUUUAAAGUGGUACGCGAGCUGGGUUUAGAACGUCGUGAGACAGUUCGGUCCCUAUCUGCCGUGGGCGUUGGAAGAUUGAAGGGGGCUGCUCCUAGUACGAGAGGACCGGAGUGGACGAACCUCUGGUGUUCGGGUUGUGUCGCCAGACGCAUUGCCCGGUAGCUAAGUUCGGAAUCGAUAACCGCUGAAAGCAUCUAAGCGG
rnacentral:rRNA from 1 species